GGCCAGGUGGCAGAGUGGUCUAAUGCGACAGACUCGAAUGACGUCAUUUAUUCGUUUGUUAUCUGUUCCUUUCGGGGGCGUCCGUUCGAAUCGGGCCCUGGUCG
rnacentral:tRNA from 1 species